rnacentral:rRNA from 1 species
GAAACCGAUAGGAUGGAAGCAGAUAAAAUUGACGAACGGGUGUCGUAUUCAGGAUUGUAUCUUGUGUGCAGUUUGUUUUUACGGCCGUUGUGGGCUGGCGGCUUUGGUCAAUGCAAUGUGUUUGGCAUUGAGAGUGACCCUGCGGAGGGAUAUUCGCUCAGUGUGCGGUGCUUGGUAUGGCUAAGGUAUCGCCGGUCUUGAAGUCAGAGAUUUAUCUGACCCGUCUUGAAACACGGACCAAGGAGUGUAGCGUUUGCGCAAGUCUUAGAGUGUGUCGAAACUUUGAGGCGUAACGAAAGUGAAUAUAGCUUGAUCUAUUAACUUGGGAUGCGUUGUCUCUUGUGGACGAUGUUGGACCAUGGUUUUAUCGCGAUUGCUUGCAAUGCGGUGAAAAUUGAGCGCAAAUGGUGCGACCCGAAAGAUGGUGAACUAUGCCUGAGCAGGAUGAAGCCGGAGGAAACUCUGGUGGAAGUCCGAAGCGGUUCUGACGUGCAAAUCGAUCGUCUGACUUGGGUAUAGGGGCGAAAGACUAAUCGAACCAUCU